rnacentral:rRNA from 1 species
UGUCGUCAGCUCGUGUCGUGAGAUGUUCGGUUAAGUCCGCUAACGAGCGCAACCCUCGCUGUGUGUUACAAGUGUCACACGGAACUGCCGGUCAUAAACCGGAGGAAGGUGGGAUGACGUCAAGUCAGCAUGGCCUUUAUAUCCUGGGCUACACACACGCUACAAUGGGAAGGGACAAUAGGUUGCGAAGCCGCGAGGCGGAGCCAAUCCAGCAAAACUUCCCUCAGUUCAGAUUGCAGGCUGCAACUCGCCUGUAUGAAGUUGGAGUUGCUAGUAAACGCAGGUCAGCCAUACUGCGUUGAAUACGUUCCCGGGGCUU